rnacentral:rRNA from 1 species
AGUGAACGCUGGCGGUAGGCCUAACACAUGCAAGUCGAACGGCAGCACAGUAAGAGCUUGCUCUUACGGGUGGCGAGUGGCGGACGGGUGAGGAAUACAUCGGAAUCUACUUUUUCGUGGGGGAUAACGUAGGGAAACUUACGCUAAUACCGCAUACGACCUACGGGUGAAAGCAGGGGAUCUUCGGACCUUGCGCGAUUGAAUGAGCCGAUGUCGGAUUAGCUAGUUGGCGGGGUAAAGGCCCACCAAGGCGACGAUCCGUAGCUGGCCUGAGAGGAUGAUCAGCCACACUGGAACUGAGACACGGUCCAGACUCCUACGGGAGGCAGCAGUGGGGAAUAUUGGACAAUGGGCGCAAGCCUGAUCCAGCCAUACCGCGUGGGUGAAGAAGGCCUUCGGGUUGUAAAGCCCUUUUGUCGGGAAAGAAAAGCAGCAGGUUAAUACCCCGCUGUUCUGACGGUACCCAAAGAAUAAGCACCGGCUAACUUCGUG